UGAUGAUGAUGAGGGCAAUUCCCGAGCAUAGCCUUGAAUUUUUCCUAAACUUGGUAAAGAUUCUCUCUAUCUCUUUUCCUGAAACUUAGAAUCUCACUUCUCAAAUA
rfam:Capsicum annuum cultivar Zunla-1 chromosome 4, whole genome shotgun sequence